CCUACGGGAGGCAGCAGUAGGGAAUCUUCGGCAAUGGACGAAAGUCUGACCGAGCAACGCCGCGUGAGUGAAGAAGGUUUUCGGAUCGUAAAACUCUGUUGUUAGAGAAGAACAAGUAGGAGAGUAACUGCUCUUACCUUGACGGUAUCUAACCAGAAAGCCACGGCUAACUACGUGCCAGCAGCCGCGGUAAUACGUAGGUGGCAAGCGUUGUCCGGAUUUAUUGGGCGUAAAGCGAGCGCAGGCGGUCUUUUAAGUCUGAUGUGAAAACCCUCGGCUCAACCGAGGAAGGUCAUUGGAAACUGGAGGACUUGAGUGCAGAAGAGGAGAGUGGAAUUCCUUGUGUAGCGGUGAAGUGCGUAGAUAUAUGGAGGAACACCAGUGGAGAAGGCGACUUUCUGGUCUGUAACUGACGCUGAGGCUCGAAAGCGUGGGGAGCAAACAGGAUUAGAUACCCGAGUAGUC
rnacentral:rRNA from 1 species